rnacentral:rRNA from 1 species
CCUACGGGAGGCUGCAGUGGGGAAUAUUGGGCAAUGGCCGCAAGCCUGACCCAGCAACGCCGCGUGAAGGAAGAAGGCUUUCGGGUUGUAAACUUCUUUUCUCAGGGACGAAGCAAGUGACGGUACCUGAGGAAUAAGCCACGGCUAACUACGUGCCAGCCUCCGCGGUAAUACGUAGGUGGCAAGCGUUAUCCGAAUUUACUGGUUGUAAGGGGCGUUUAGGCGGGGACGCAAGUCAGAUGUGAAAACCACGGGCUCAACCUGUGGCCUGCAUUUGAAACUGUGUUGCUUGAGUACGGGAGAGGCAGACGGAAUUUGUAGUGUAGCGGUGAAAUGCGUAGAUAUUAGGCGGAACACCAGUGGCGAAGGCGGUCUGCUGGACAGCAACUGACGCUGAGGCGCGAAAGCGUGGGGAGCAAACAGGAUUAGAUACCCCUGUAGUC